GACGUAGGGUGCGAGCGUUGUCCGGAUUUAUUGGGCGUAAAGAGCGUGUAGGCGGCCAGGUAGGUCUGCUGUGAAAACUCGAGGCUUAACCUCGAGCUGUCGGCGGAAACCAUCUGGCUAGAGUCCGGAAGAGGAGAAUGGAAUUCCCGGUGUAGCGGUGAAAUGCGCAGAUAUCGGGAAGAACACCCGUGGCGAAGGCGGUUCUCUGGGACGGUACUGACGCUGAGACGCGAAAGCGUGGGGAGCGAACAGG
rnacentral:rRNA from 1 species